UAAAAAACAUAGCCCAAAGAUUUAUUUUAGGUAAAUUCUGCCCAGCGUAAUUUAUUAGCGGCCGCAGUACUUUGACUGUGCUAAGGUAGCAUAAUCAAUUGGCUUUUAAUUGUAGUCUGGAAUGAAAGGACUAAUAGGGGUUAGCUGUCUCUAUACUAUUAUUUUGAAUUUAUUUAUUAAGUGAAAAUACUUAUACAAAGAAAAAAGACGAGAAGACCCUUAGAAUUUUAAUAAAAUAUUUAAUAAUUUUUUUUUGUUGGGGCGACAUUGAAACAAUUAAACUUUCAUUGACAAUCAAGACAUUUAGGUUUGAAAGAGUAAAUUACCUUAGGGAUAACAGCAUAAUUAAUUAUUUAGUUUGUGACCUCGAUGUUGGACUAGGAACUAGAAGAUUAACCGUCUAAAUAGAUGUCGU
rnacentral:rRNA from 1 species